rnacentral:rRNA from 1 species
AAAGAAACCAACCGGGAUUGCCCCAGUAACGGCGAGUGAAGCGGCAAGAGCUCAAAUUUGAAAUCUGGCCCCUCCGGGGUCCGAGUUGUAAUUUGCAGAGGAUGCUUCGGGUACGGCCCCUGUCUAAGUGCCCUGGAACGGGCCGUCAGAGAGGGUGAGAAUCCCGUCUUGGGCAGGGUGCCCGUGCCCAUGUGAAGCUCCUUCGACGAGUCGAGUUGUUUGGGAAUGCAGCUCUAAAUGGGUGGUAAAUUUCAUCUAAAGCUAAAUACCGGCCGGAGACCGAUAGCGCACAAGUAGAGUGAUCGAAAGAUGAAAAGCACUUUGAAAAGAGAGUUAAACAGCACGUGAAAUUGUUGAAAGGGAAGCGCUUGCGACCAGACUCGGCCCCGGGGUUCAGCCAGCACUCGUGCUGGUGUACUUCCCCGGGGGCGGGCCAGCGUCGGUUUGGGCGGCCGGUCAAAGGCCCCAGGAAUGUAUCGCCCUCCGGGGCGUCUUAUAGCCUGGGGUGCAAUGCGGCCAGCUUGGACCGAGGAACGCGCUUCGGCACGGACGCUGGCGUAAUGGUCGCAAACGAC